rnacentral:tRNA from 1 species
GCUUCCUUGGCUCAGUUGGUAGAGCGUUGGUCUCAUAUAAUCCAAAGGUCGCCAGUUCGAGCCUGGCAGGGAGCA